CUUCCAGUAGCACCUUAGAGACCAACUAAGUUUGUUAUUGGUAUGAGCUUUCAUGUGCAUGCACACAAAAGCUCAUACCAAUAACAAACUCAGUUGGUCUCUAAGGUGCUACUGGAAG
rnacentral:miRNA from 1 species